CUCCCCUUAAAAUAAAUUAUUGUUUCCACAGACCUUUGAAUGUGGAUCCACGGCUGCAGCAGAUGAGCACAGCGCAAGUACACCUGCUCAAACCCCAGUAUUCAAACCUAAAAGUAUGGAAGAUGUAUUAGGCCUCCUUCAAAACCAAGUUGACACCACGACAGAAUUUAAAUUGUGUGUGGACAGACGGCCUCCUUCCCAAGAGUGGCAUCAUUCAGUGGAAAAGGAAAAAAUCUGCAUCUCCUGUCAGUGCUCUUGAGGUGGUGUAUAUUGGAGAGAUAUGAUUUCAGGUUUUGAAAACAGAUUCUUUAAAGGAAGACAGUGGAAAAAAUCCCAAGUACUCUUUGACGGACCUUGAUAAUGAAAAUUUCAGAACUGUUGGUGAAAUAAUGGCAGUCAGCCUUGCUCAAGGUGGUCCACCACCUGCUUUCAUGAGGGAGUGGUGCUACAACUUCCCAGUCUCUAAUGUUAUUAGCAGAUGGCAUCUUGAGCUGUGGAUACACAAGCCAGCUCAAACUGGACAACAAAGACAGAAUGAUUUACUGUGUUUUAAAACAGUGACUACUACUACUACUUGAGUA